AGUCGAGCGGCAGCGCGGGGCAACCUGGCGGCGAGCGGCGAACGGGUGAGUAAUACAUCGGAACGUGCCCAAGUGUGGGGGAUAGCCCGGCGAAAGCCGGAUUAAUACCGCAUACGAUCUAAGGAUGAAAGCGGGGGAUCGCAAGACCUCGCGCACUUGGAGCGGCUGAUGGCAGAUUAGGUAGUUGGUGGGGUAAAGGCCUACCAAGCCUACGAUCUGUAGCUGGUCUGAGAGGACGACCAGCCACACUGGGACUGAGACACGGCCCAGACUCCUACGGGAGGCAGCAGUGGGGAAUUUUGGACAAUGGGCGAAAGCCUGAUCCAGCCAUUCCGCGUGCAGGAUGAAGGCCCUCGGGUUGUAAACUGCUUUUGUACAGAACGAAAAGGCUCUGGUUAAUACCUGGGGCUCAUGACGGUACUGUAAGAAUAAGCACCGGCUAACUACGUGCCAGCAGCCGCGGUAAUACGUAGGGUGCAAGCGUUAAUCGGAAUUACUGGGCGUAAAGCGUGCGCAGGCGGUUUUGUAAGACAGAGGUGAAAUCCCCGGGCUCAACCUGGGAACUGCCUUUGUGACUGCAAGGCUGGAGUACGGCAGAGGGGGAUGGAAUUCCGCGUGUAGCAGUGAAAUGCGUAGAUAUGCGGAGGAACACCGAUGGCGA
rnacentral:rRNA from 1 species